rnacentral:tRNA from 1 species
GCCGGAGUGGCGGAAUGGCAGACGCACCGCACUCAAAAUGCGGCGGGAAACCGUGGGGGUUCGAAUCCCCCCUCCGGCACCU